UACGUAGGGGGCAAGCGUUGUCCGGAAUCAUUGGGCGUAAAGAGCGCGUAGGCGGUCCGGUAAGUCCGCUCUGAAAGUCCGGGGCUCAACCCCGGGAGGCGGGCGGAUACUGUCGGGCUAGAGUCCGGAAGAGGCGAGUGGAAUUCCUGGUGUAGCGGUGAAAUGCGUAGAUAUCGAGAGGAACACCUGCGGCGAAGGCGGGUUGCUGGGCCGACACUGACGCUGAUGCGCGAAAGCCAGGGGAGCGAACGGG
rnacentral:rRNA from 1 species